GUACAACAUACCACAGCAUCCACUAUACUGACCCUCCUAGAAGGUACAACAUACCACAGCACCCACUAUACUGACCCUCCUAGAAGGUACAACAUACCACAGCACCCACUAUACUGACCAUCCACUAUACUGACCCUCCUAGAAGGUACAACAUACCACAGCACCCACUAUACUGACCCUCCUAGAAGGUACAACAUACCACAGCACCCACUAUACUGACCCUCCACUAUACUGACCCUCCUAGAAGGUACAACAUACCACAGCACCCACCAUCCUGACCCUCCUAGAAGGUACAACAUACCACAGCACCCACUAUAACUGACCACCCACCAUCCUGACCCUCCUAGAAGGUACAACAUACCACAGCACCCACUAUACUGACCAUCCUGACCCUCCUAGAAGGUACAACAUACCACAGCACCCACUAUACUGACCAUCCAGACCCUCCUAGAAUGUACAACAUACCACAGCACCCACUAUACUGACCCUCCUAGAAGGUACAACAUACCACAGCAU
ensembl:lncRNA